rnacentral:rRNA from 1 species
GGGGUAUAUGUCUUCGGAUAUAGAGACCGGCGCACGGGUGCUUAACGCGUAUGCAAUCUACCUUUCACAGAGGGAUAGCCCAGAGAAAUUUGGAUUAAUACCUCAUAGUAUUAUUGAGUGGCAUCACUUAAUAAUUAAAGUCACAACGGUGAAAGAUGAGCAUGCGUCCCAUUAGCUAGUUGGUAAGGUAACGGCUUACCAAGGCAACGAUGGGUAGGGGUCCUGAGAGGGAGAUCCCCCACACUGGUACUGAGACACGGACCAGACUCCUACGGGAGGCAGCAGUGAGGAAUAUUGGACAAUGGGCGCAAGCCUGAUCCAGCCAUGCCGCGUGCAGGAUGACGGUCCUAUGGAUUGUAAACUGCUUUUGUACGAGAAGAAACACUGCUUCGUGAAGCAGCUUGACGGUAUCGUAAGAAUAAGGAUCGGCUAACUCCGUGCCAGCAGCCGCGGUAAUACGGAGGAUCCAAGCGUUAUCCGGAAUCAUUGGGUUUAAAGGGUCCGU